AGGCCCGUGGCGAAGCUCGGAUAUCGCGGCAGCCUCCUAAAUUGGAAAUCGGGGGUUCAAAUCCCCCCGGGCCUG
rnacentral:tRNA from 1 species